AGUCGGUGAGGUAACCUUCAUGGAGCCAGCCGCCUAAGGUGGGACAGAUGAUUGGGGUGAAGUCGUAACAAGGUAGCCGUAUCGGAAGGUGCGGCUGGAUCACCUCCUUU
rnacentral:rRNA from 1 species